UUCUCCACACUACAACGGUCACAAUGUGCGUUAGAGACCAGAUUUCGUGCUGUUCUUUCCGAUCUUCUUCACGUCUAUGUUAUUCCCUCUUCUUCUUCUAGUACUCUUUUCUUUUCUUCCUUCUUUAUUUCUGUUGGGUUUUUUUCAGGUUUUCAUGAAAUAUGGGUUUUCUUGAGUUUCAAGAUUUCUUUCUGUUCUUCCCAAUCUUCUUCACGUCUAUGUUAUUCCUCUUCUUUGGUACUCUUUCUUUUCUUCCUUUGUUGUUUCCUUCUUUAGGGUUUUCACGAAAUAUGGGUUCUCUUGGUUUUCAUUGUUGAAAACACAAAAAACUUGAAUGUGAUGAAAAAUUAAAAGAUUCAAGAAAAAAAUUUGAUCGCAGCUCUUUCCACUUAUUCUCUAUUUCUUUUUUUCCCAAGAAAACAACCAUUUACGUAUAAAAGCUAUUUUCAUUUUUGUUUUUAUUUUUGGCUUUUCUCAUCACUGUUAGUAGUUAUUAUGGUUGAUGUUACACUUCUUCCCAAGAAGUCUAGCUGUGUUGAAGCUCAUUUCUCACAUAGCAAGGAAUUUUCCUGGACUUCUUCCCCAUGGCAAAGCCAGUGCUGUUCAGCCCGUGAUUCUUCUGAUAUUGCCCUUUUUUCGCCGAACCUGCAUUUUGAAAUUUUGUUUAUAGGAUCCCUCUCUGUGGAAAACUCAAGCCUUGCAGAGCCCACUGGGUUAAGGUGUUUCCAUCCUCCUUUUCUGGAAAUUUAAGUGCUUCAACCUGUCUCUGUGAUAUCCCAACAAGCAAUAAGCCCAUUGAUGGCCCUGGCAUCUUGAUUAACCUCUUGGGUAGAAACAGAUGGCAACCUUUUGCAACUUGGACCAUAAAGCUUCUCAGCAAUGCUUAACUGAAGGGACGUUAUUUGCGGAAGGGCUCAUCAAUACAUCAUUUGUUUGUGUUGCAUGCUCUUUUAUGUAAUGGAGAUGUGAUUUGCUUAUGGCAUGUUUUGACUUUGCAUGUGUCAUGGAUCAGUGAUGAGUUAUGACAAUGUUCCCACUGAGAAUUUAAUCCAAUCUAUAUCCAACAUGUUAAGUGAGGACAAAGAGGGACUCCAUAUAUUCAGAACCACGCAUUUUGUUGAUUGAUUGCCUUCAAGUUGCUCUCUCUACUCGUGGUCCCCAUGUUGGAGUAGGGACAACAGAUCAUGGGUUUAUCAACCUUGAAUGAUAAAUCAAUGGCAAACCCAAAGGUUGGAAAGAAGACAUAUUGUUGAUAUUGAUCCUUUCAAGAUCAAGCGCCAAAAGGUAGAUGGAGAGAUUAAGUUUGCAAACACUAAUGUUCCAGGGGUAUUGAACUUACUGAUGCAGUUUCUUAUGAAAGAGAAGAAGGAUAUGUGUACUCAAUGCAUGAGUCAAUUCUUUUAUUGUUGAAACUUUAAACUUUCCUAGUUUCAAACAUGAAGCUUUAAGACCAGAUGUUGUGUUAAUGGCUCUUAGCCUGCUUUCCUUUGCCUUCCGUAGAUAUCAUCAGACUAUGCCACUCUGCAACUUUUGGCAGAUGCAGACUUGGAUUUGUGAGCAGCAAAGCAAGGGAGUUCAAUCAUGCUUGAUUUUCCAUUACCUGGAAGAAAUUUAUAGUAUGCUGCUUAUACAAGAUAAGGCAGUGGAUUUAAUUAACGUUAUAAAAACUUGACUUGUUAGGAAUAUGCUCUACUAAAAGCUUUCAUGUGUUUUCCUAAGUUUCUAAAUGAAGAAAAUAGCUCCUGAGUGUUUCACUUUCACUCUCGCUGAGUAAGCCUCAUGUAUCUCAUGCUAUGAGUUCAACAAAAAACGCAUCACUGAAAAUCAAAUUUAUAUAUUGAGACAGGUAUUUAUAUGAAAAUUAAGACAUAAUUUUACAAGUCUUCUUUGCAGAUAUAGUUUCUGAUAAUUCCUCCGCUUCUCUUUACUAGUUCAUGUAACUCAGUGCAAUCUAUUUAAGCUUUAAUUUCAAUUAGAUGGGUUAGUGAUUAUGCUACGUAAAUAGUUUUCCUCAUUCAAAAAAUGUACUUCAUUUAACAGUUUAAUUAUGGAGUCUAUCAUAUUUUAUGGCAUGACCGUUUGUUGUUGUAAUUAGCAAAUUAUGUGGGCUUGUGUUGUGAUCAUACUGUCAGUAAUUGGAUGAUGCUGUAAAAUUUGAAUAAUUUGAAACUAAUGAAUGUCAAUUAUGGCCGGUUUAUCCAAAUGGUUCAUGUUAACGUUUCCUUUUGUCUGUUAAUUUGAGAUGCCUGCCUAUCUGUUGAGGAGAAUGAGGGUCUCAUGUUCUGUGAUUUGUUUUGACUACUAAGAAUGUGGAUAAAGUAUUCUAUACUAAUAUAUUUUUCUGGGAGGGGGGUGGUGAAGAGGAAAUGGUGUCUUAUCUUAUGGAUAAAAUUAUCAUCGUGAAGCUUCCUAACUUGAAUUCAUUUGCCUAUAUCUUCCACCCUUUGAAUAAGCAGGUUCUUGGAGAAAGAUAAGCAUAAAAAGGUCAAGAAAGUGAUUUCUUACUGUCUUGUAUUUUUAUCAAGCGUAUAUGGAUCUUACCAUGGUGUUGUUGGCAUAGAAAAUUGUUUCUGCAAAUUAUUUCUAGAUAUCAAACAUGAGAAACAGAAUGAUACUAGAUUAUUUUGCCCGAUGAUGAGCCAAAUUCUAAAAUCAUGCAUCCGCCCAACACCCGCAGUUUGGAAAGUGGUUACAAUUUUGAUUUUGUUUAUCUUCAAUCUUUAUGAUGAGUCUUUCAAAGACGAAGAGGUUCAGCUUGCCUGUGUGGGAGCUAUUCGAAUGAUGCUUUGACAUGGCUCUCAUUAUGUUCUGCUUAAAUUGAGAACAGCAAUGGUGAGGAAAACUUCCUGGAUAUGGUUAAACAUGCUCUGGCAGCAACUGAAGAUCCCCAGAUAAUAGAAACUCUUCUGGAAUCCGCUGCAGAAAUUAUGAUGGCAGUUGGUGUUUAAAUUCAACUCUUAUUUUCUUUGAUCUGAUCGGUUGAUCAGCUUGACAAUCUGUGCUUUAUCAUCUUGUCAAAUUUUAGAAUGGACCUACAAUUUAUAGCCUGGAAUGGUACAAUUUUCGAGCUUUGCAAUCUGGUGCUCAGUAACAUCUUGGGCACCCUUGAUGGAUCAAAUGAGAAAGUUUGUCAUCAAAUAUUACACAACUUGUAUGCCUUGCUCAAGAAAGAAACUCCCUGUCACGAUUCAUUGUUAAUUGUUACAGGGCUUGCUUCUUUGGAUCAUAAAGCUUACAUUUUCUAUUCAAAUGUGACUGCUUGGAACCUUGGGAAAGCUCAGGACAUGGCUGCGACCGGGACUUCAAUUAGAAUCUGCUCCAUCCCGUCCUGCAUUUCUUCCUUACACAGCAAUGUUUGUGAAUUCUGGACUGUCAAAUACGUGCUGCUCAAUCCAUUUAAAUUGAAAUUGCUUUACUAGUUUGUCUAUGGUUUUGUCGUUUUAAACUUGUCAUCUUCUGAAACAUGAGAACAUAGUGUUUCAAAAUUUAGAAACAUGUAUUUAUUCCUUGUUUCCUUGACGAAAAAUUUGUUUGAAGUUUUCCUCAAAUCAGAACAUAUUAAGACACUGUAAUGUUGCAAGUAGAUACUUGAGAGAGUAUUUUUUUGAAAGUGAAUCUCUUU